AUGAGCUUAAUUGUUGUUUGUAUGCCUCUUUUGGUAAUUAAUAAAGUUUGGUUUUCUGAAAAAAAAAAGCAAUUUCAACCGUUUUUAGCUAACGGGUGAUUCGCUUUAUAUUUAUCUCUAAUUGCUCAAGUAUGUAAACUUUGAAAAAUUGUUUAAACACGGACUUAUGAUUAGUUUUUUUAUAUUUACUUUGAAAAAUUUACGGAACUGUUUCAAAGGAUUAUGUGGUUGACUUGAAGCAAUCAUCAGCCGAUGAAGCGUAACCUUAGUGAUUUGUAUGCGAUUGAACAGGGACUGGGGUCGUCAGCAAGUAAACCUCGCAUAAGUGUUGACAUCAUUUGUCUUGAUGAAGAUGUUGCCAAGAAUUGAUAAACGAGAUAAGUGAUUGUUACAAUAAAAAAACAUUUGGUUUGUUAUUGGAGUGUUUGCUUUGAGUUUUUUAUUUUGUAUUUAAAACAUUUAUAUGGUUUCCCUAUUUAAUAUGACAUUUUGAGU
rnacentral:lncRNA from 1 species